rnacentral:rRNA from 2 species
GGGUGAGUAAUGUCUGGGAAACUGCCUGAUGGAGGGGGAUAACUACUGGAAACGGUAGCUAAUACCGCAUGACCUCGAAAGAGCAAAGUGGGGGACCUUCGGGCCUCACGCCAUCGGAUGUGCCCAGAUGGGAUUAGCUAGUAGGUGAGGUAAUGGCUCACCUAGGCGACGAUCCCUAGCUGGUCUGAGAGGAUGACCAGCCACACUGGAACUGAGACACGGUCCAGACUCCUACGGGAGGCAGCAGUGGGGAAUAUUGCACAAUGGGCGCAAGCCUGAUGCAGCCAUGCCGCGUGUGUGAAGAAGGCCUUCGGGUUGUAAAGCACUUUCAGCGAGGAGGAAGGCGUUAAGGUUAAUAACCUUGGCGAUUGACGUUACUCGCAGAAGAAGCACCGGCUAACUCCGUGCCAGCAGCCGCGGUAAUACGGAGGGUGCAAGCGUUAAUCGGAAUUACUGGGCGUAAAGCGCACGCAGGCGGUUUGUUAAGUCAGAUGUGAAAUCCCCGAGCUUAACUUGGGAACUGCAUUUGAAACUGGCAAGCUAGAGUCUUGUAGAGGGGGGUAGAAUUCCAGGUGUAGCGGUGAAAUGCGUAUAGAUCUGGAGGAAUACCGGUGGGGAAAGCGGCCCCCUGGACAAAGACUGACGCUCAAGUGCGAAAAGC